CUCACAAGCGUAGGGUUCCUUGAGAUGUAUUUGUUCAACACUCAUGAAUAGCCAUGCGUGUUUUUUCAAUGUGACACUGCCAGACUUCCCAGACAGUAAACAUGGCUACGUUCUGAACAGAUCUAAGGUGUAGCCAUCGUGUCAAGAUCUGCUGUUGACAUGGAGAGAUUUUUGUCUACCCAUUCCCUAUUUGCCCUAGUUCUCUUUUUGUGCGGAAUUGGAGAUUACGUGCACCCUUGGACAAGUGCAUUUGCAGAUUCGUCGGUCUGUUCACCAUCGUUGAUGCUGAGACUCGAGCCCCUGGAUUUGGAGGGAAUUUUAACAGUGUGUGCUGUAUCUCUAUGGGGUCUUGUUUUAAUCUUCGUGGUGACUAUACUUCUGUAUUCACUGAUCAGACACUGGAAGGAACCCAAGGCAGGAGAUAGCAAUGAUUCAACACAUCUAGGCAACCACAGUCACUCAAGCAGACAGAAUGAAGUCUCUACAUACUACGUCUACAUUGGACCUACAGAUGCAUCGAAUACUGAGCCGAAUAUCCAACCUAACACCUGACUGAGAUGAAUCGAGAAUUAGGUUAGUAGUAUCAGAGGCCAUUUCUGCAGUCAGUGACACCGCCUUCCGCGAAUUUAAGCCUUGUACUUAUCCUUCAGUGUGAUGCCACCGCAGAAGUGGAAUCUCCUUAGUGUAGGGGUACGAUACACCCACUUUGUCAUGUGCUACAUUUAUAUGUCACUUUGGAUUGUUAGGCUUCUACCAAUUCAAUUUGUUAAAUUUAGAUUAAAAUUUGGCCAAUACAGAACUGACUUUAUAAUCCUUUCAAAAUUGUGGACAAAACUGGUACAUUUUCUUUGCUAGGGUCAUUCGUAUAGUGUAUGUUAUUUCAAGAUAAUUCUAAUAUGUUAUUUUCAGCUCAAAAUCAAAGUAAGCUCUUAGGUAUGAGCCUUGGAAUUUAAUAUGAAAUUUGUUCAAUCAUUGAAAAUUAAUUCAAAGCAGAGGUUGAAGAGAUUCAUGUUUAUAUUUUAGAUUGAAUUCAGAUCAUUGUUUAGAAGUUCAGUAAAGUUAUGUGAUUACUUUUCAGCUUAAAAUCUAAUUAUAUUGCAAGGGGUUUACCUUCUAAGUUGAUCUUCAUCAUUUUCAGCUUAUAAUUAAAUAAAACGUAAGGCCUUGCAAUUCACAUGUAAUUGAAACAUUGCCAGAGUUGUGUUUGUUCCAAGUUUUCUUCAUUGGACAAAAGAAAUUAUUGAAUGCAAUUUCAAACAAAUUUAAAUUUAAUCAUUUUAGCAGAGAAAUAGAUUAAAAUGUGAAGGGUAAAGCCUUUCAAUUAAAUUUUGCACAAAACAAAUGUUUCCCUAAUCCUUUCAAAGUAAGUUUUGAAAUGGAAAAGGCAUUUUAAGGCGAGUAUAAACCUCAAUUCUUUCUUAUUUGAAGUCAAGAGAACAUUACUUUAUAUAUUUAUGGAAUUGUUAGCAUUUUUUUAUGCUAUCAUUUUCGGCUGCAAGAGGUCGGCCUUGCAUUUUUAAUAAAAUUCUCCCACAAUAGGCCUAUGAAUUUGUACCC
rnacentral:lncRNA from 1 species